rnacentral:tRNA from 1 species
GUAUCCGUGGCCGAGUGGUCUAGGAUGUUGCUUCCCAUUCUUAUGGUCCCGGGUUCAAAUCCGGCCGGGGAUU